rnacentral:hammerhead_ribozyme from 1 species
AUUCAGCUGACGUGUCCCAAAUAGGACGAAACGCGCGUCCUGGAU